UCUGGAGGAUUAUAAGAAUAUAAGUAUAAAACAUGGUCUCCAGCCUCAAAGGAUUCACUUUCUAUUUAAGGAGAUAAAAAAUAGCGCAUGUAGAACUAGUAGAAAGAUAUGUUGGAGAUGUGGGCGUGG